GAACGCGCGGUUUACGCGCUCGCCGGAUGUCUGUGAGUUCGCUGCCUGUCACGGCACGGGGCAGCGCAGAUGGAAAGG
rnacentral:ncRNA from 1 species